GGCUGUGCAUGUGAAGAGAGCACCUGGGCUCCCCCAUAUGAUUUUCAGUGCCUAUACUUGAAGAAACGUAAGGUCGUCUCCAGCCUUACCCUUGAAGGGACUGCACACAGCUUCAGAGAAGCCGAAGUGGGGGAUGAGGCCUCACUCUUCUGCCAGACUGUGUAUGGUUAAAGCCAGACAAGCUUCUUCACCCUACCCUGCUGAGGUACGUCUACCCUAACCUGAAAAAAACAACUCCAGGAGGAAAAAAAGAUGAGGAAACUGAGGCAAAAAAGAGCUGAGUG